UACGGAGGGUGCGAGCGUUGUCCGGAAUCAUUGGGCGUAAAGGGCGCGUAGGUGGCCCGGUCAGUUCGUGGUGAAAGCGCGGGGCUCAACCCUGCGUCGGCCAUGAAUACUGCCGCGGCUGGAGCACUGUAGAGGCAGGCGGAAUUCCGGGUGUAGCGGUGGAAUGCGUUGAGAUCCGGAAGAACACCGGUGGCGAAGGCGGCCUGCUGGGCAGUUGCUGACACUGAGGCGCGACAGCGUGGGGAGCAAACAGG
rnacentral:rRNA from 1 species